rnacentral:misc_RNA from 1 species
UCCCCCGUGAGGGGGCAGUCUCGCCUGACAUAAGUAACAGACAACGAGGGUUGCGUUCGUUACCCCACUGAAGGGAACAGCUCAAGCCACGAACUGACGACAACCAUGCAUCACCUGCCAAGCACCCUCGAAGGCUUCCUCCGUUUCUGGAGGCGUGCAGCUUGGUUUCUAGCCCUGGUAAGGUUUUUCGCGGAUCAUCGAAUUAAGCCACACGUUCCACCGCUUGUGCGAGUCCCCGUCUAUUCCUUUGAGUUUUAAUCUUGCGAUCGUACUACCCAGGCGGCUCGCUUACCGCGUUAGCUUAGUCCCACAGAGGGUCGAUACUCCGUAGAACGAGCGAGCAACGUUUAGGGCCAGGACUAC